rnacentral:rRNA from 1 species
GACGAACGCUGGCGGCGUGCUUAACACAUGCAAGUCGAACGGAAAGGCCCUGCUUUUGUGGGGUGCUCGAGUGGCGAACGGGUGAGUAACACGUGAGUAACCUGCCCUUGACUUUGGGAUAACUUCAGGAAACUGGGGCUAAUACCGGAUAGGAGCUCCUGCUGCAUGGUGGGGGUUGGAAAGUUUCGGCGGUUGGGGCUGGACUCGCGGCUUAUCAGCUUGUUGGUGGGGUAGUGGCUUACCAAGGCUUUGACGGGUAGCCGGCCUGAGAGGGUGACCGGCCACAUUGGGACUGAGAUACGGCCCAGACUCCUACGGGAGGCAGCAGUGAGGAAUAUUGCACAAUGGGCGGAAGCCUGAUGCAGCAACGCCGCGUGCGGGAUGACGGCCUUCGGGUUGUAAACCGCUUUCGCCUGUGACGAAGCGUGAGUGACGGUAAUGGGUAAAGAAGCACCGGCUAACUACGUG